AAGCAGUGGUAAUGGAUGUUUCAUAACGAUGUCAAACACUGAGAAAUUAACAAUAAAAAGAAGGUGAAAGAAAAUAAAAAGGAUCCCGGCUCAUUGACGACUUUCAGAUGAUUUUGCUAACUCUUCACAUUCUUUACAAUACCAGAUCCCCUUCGGUGGUUCUACUAGACCAACGCAAGGUAAAUGGAACCAUUCUCUUUUACAAUUUUCGUUAUCACAUCCAAUCAUUUGUCCAUAGGAAACUUGUUGACAGUAACAGUAAAGUUGCUCACCUUCACGGCUGAUAUCACUUGAAUCUAAUGUGUCGUGUUUGACAAGUGGUUCCCCAUUUGUCUGUUUUAAACGAGAUUCUGAUCUCCGCACUGGUCGCCUCUCCGUAGAUUGCGGCGCAUGCUUUGUACUCGAUAAUGGAGGUGAUGAUGAUUUUCUAGGAACAGCAUUUUUUCGACGCUUUGUAGGGGUGUGAUAAGAAGAUUGCGGCGAUGAAGCGUCUUCAAAGUUGUUAUAUGAAGACGACCGUUCCUGAGAGGAAUAUUGCUGGGAAUGCUGGUUAUUUUGAUGCCGACGGGUUUCCCGUCUCCUUUCAGAAGUUUGAGGAGUCACAGUAGAAUGAUAAUUCAUUAAAGCUCGAUCGUCUGGAUAUCCCAAUCUCAAUUGUUGGGGAAUCUCCAAUUCAACAUAUUCAAACCCAGCAUCCAAACGGUCGAUACAACUCUUGAUAUUAUUCAUUGCGUCUGUGGCCAAACAAAUCUUUGAAUCAGAAUAUGGAAGUAUCUCUUUUAGUGUCUUUUGUAAUCGCUCACAUCUUUCUUCUCCUGACAAUUCGUCAUUUUUCUCGUUUUUUAGAACCACACCAAUUUCCUGUAUGACAUUUUGACGGAUAUCUAAGAUUUUGUUAACCACACGUUUUAAAAAUAUAUAUUUCACUUACCUCGUACUUGUGCAUCGAUCUCUUUCAAACUCGUGAAUUUUCCACAUACUGAUUCAGGGACUGAAACAAUGGCUGUAAAAUGUUAAUCAAUGUGUUUAUUUUCGCCUCUUACCAUCUGUGAAAUCAUUUAAAGCUGCAAAUAUUUCAAUUCCACUCGUCCCCAUGAUAUUGACACUAAGCACGUUACGUUGUGCUGAGUAGGAAAUGUAUGUCCCACCUACUUCUCUCACUUUACUACAUCCCUACGUGAAAUAGCAAAAUUGUAUGUUUAAUCUAUUGAUAGAAAGAAGUGAUUCUAUUAUAAGCGACGCGUUUUAAUGUACCAGAAUUCUAGUAUAAUUUCAGCACUGCUUUGAACUGUAAUUUUUAACGACAUUAUGUUAGUUCAGGUAAUAUGAGCCUUCUUGUUUAACCAUACAUUUCCAAAUAAUCAAUUUAUUUUAGAUAUCGGUUCUACUACUCAGUUAGUUGCACCUUCAUUAUAAUAGCAAAUUUUGGAUGUCCGAAAUAUUUUUCCUUUUCACAACCUUCAGUGAAUUCCAGAUAAUUGAGAAGUACAUAUUAAAAUUCUUACCCAAAAUAGACCGAGAUUUACUAUAUCUUAAAGCUCAAUACAUUCUUAUUUUUCCAUUCUUCUCAUUUGACUUACAUACGAUAGUGUAUAUACCAAUAUCAA